CUCUUGACCUCAGUAUUUCUAAAAUCCCGGCGGUGGCCCUAGGGGUAGUGUUAUAAAAGUUACAUAUUGUUAGCUAGGUUGUGAAUGCUUGGAGAUAAAUGAUACAGCAACCGGGAAGGACACACCAGCAAGGAAAGGGAACCCUGUGAUCAAAAUAGGCACUGCAACCAUGCUAGUACGAUGAAACCUUACGACCUGGCUGAGAGUGGCCUCCUCCCUCCCCACAUCUUGACAUUUUCAGCAGCACAGACAACCAAAAGCAACCUCUAACAGCAACAAUUCCAGUGAUCAACUUCAGCUCAAUUCUGAGAUCUCGCUCCACCUCUGAGAAAAUACAAGAAGAAGACACAGAGCAACCCAGAACCAAGACUUUUCUGUCCAGAAACAUGGUCCCACCUUGGCACAGAUCAGAAGGCCCAUGUUGUACAUAGUCAUGACAAAGAGUUUUGUUCAUGCCAGUGCAGCUGCCAUCUCCUCCGGGUCCUGAUGAGAGGCGGCAGAUGGGUCACCAAGACCUGAGGAUUGCCUGCAAGAUCUGCUUCAAAAUGUCACUGCAGCAAACUUAAUUUGCAUUUACCUCUUGAAUGGAAAAGCACUGACAGAGGAAAUCUGGAGUACUUCUGUCAUAUAGAAUGAAUUAUUUUGACAUGUUGUCAUGCAGUGAUUUCAAUUUUUCUUUUGUUAGGCAUACUGGGAGCUAAAAUGGUUAAUCACAUACAAGCAAUCAAAAUCAAUCAUCUAAACGAGCAGAUUGUCAGUACAAUUUGAAUAAGCACAUUUUACAGGCCCAGUACACAUAGCCGAUUUGUAGUGUUGACCUCAUUUAUUUAGUCUUCAUCAUCUUGUACUUUUAAGCGAAUGUGCUUGUAAAAUGAAUAAGUCCUCUUCCUUGAAAAAUAAGAGCAUGUGAGAUGUUUAACAACCUUUAUCAGCUCAGGUGGUUUCUAAAAGCAGGCAUGUUUUCCAGGACCCUCACAUUUAGAUACAGCUGGUUUAACGUAGCCCUGACAGUACUGUACGUUCUUAAUGUGACAGCUCAGUCUCAAUGAACUUCAUCCUAAAUCCCUUCUCUUAAAUUUAAUAAGGAUUAAGGAGAUUCUUCUCAUAACAGUACAUACAAGAUUUAUACAAAGAAUUUUCAAUAGACUAUGGAAUUUUAAAGGUUAAAGAAGUCCAACAAAUCAAACCAAGAGUCAGUGAUAAGGUUCAACCGGGGGCCAGUUUUUUUCAGGAAUGUUCAGUACAGAAGUUGUGGAGAUGCAGGCAGGCAUGGUUUCAAUAUGUUUAUUUA